AUUGAACGCUGGCGGCAUGCCUUACACAUGCAAGUCGAACGGCAGCACGGGAGCAAUCCUGGUGGCGAGUGGCGAACGGGUGAGUAAUAUAUCGGAACGUGCCCAGUAGUGGGGGAUAACUGCUCGAAAGAGCAGCUAAUACCGCAUACGACCUGAGGGUGAAAGGGGGGGAUCGCAAGACCUCUCGCUAUUGGAGCGGCCGAUAUCAGAUUAGCUAGUUGGUGGGGUAAAGGCCUACCAAGGCAACGAUCUGUAGUUGGUCUGAGAGGACGACCAGCCACACUGGGACUGAGACACGGUCCAGACUCCUACGGGAGGCAGCAGUGGGGAAUUUUGGACAAUGGGCGCAAGCCUGAUCCAGCAAUGCCGCGUGCAGGAAGAAGGCCUUCGGGUUGUAAACUGCUUUUGUCAGGGAAGAAAUCCCCUAGGUUAAUACCCUUGGGGGGAUGACGGUACCUGAAGAAUAAGCACCGGCUAACUACGUGCCAGCAGCCGCGGUAACAC
rnacentral:rRNA from 1 species